GUCUCGUACAACGCGGGGCCAGUACGUCAGAAACAUUCACCAGUUAUAGAAAUGCCUGACACACGACAAUUCUUAUUACUGCAUCUGAUCUGCGUUUCAAUAUCACCGGUGAUCCCUCACCAGUUAUCUUCCGAAUCUGAUACAGGUGUGCCGACGACCGUCACUUUCCCGUCGGGUUACGUUCAUUUUCCAACGAUAAAUGCGGGCCUGAAAGUUCACCGAGAGCGAAGCAAUUGGUACAACGCCAAUACCGCAUGCGUUUCGGAAGGCGGCCGUCUGGCCGUCGUUGACACCGUUGAAAAAAUUAGAUUCGUCACGGAGAAUAAAGCCCAGUAUUCCGAGGUUUGGGUUGGCAUCACCAGAGAUGAUUCUCGAUGGGUUACGGCCGAUGAUCGUUCGGAACGCCACGGUUUACCGUGGGAGGCCAACAGUCCCGACAAUUUCGGGGACUGUGCCGUGGUGAAUGUCAGGGGGGAUGGAUUGUCCAACAAGCUAUGCGCUUGGCGCAAACCCUUCGUGUGUGAAAUACCGGCUACGACCGCAUCGGUACAACAGACACCGAUCAUGUUCGGAAGUAACUAGGGCAGAGUUGUACGGAUACGGAGACUCCUGAUGGAAAUUACAUUUCGAUGUUGGAAGCACGUCGUCGCUCUCGCGGGAUCGGCGACCAGAUUUUUCCGACCGACGAUACGCGAGAUGGAGAAAAAUAUGAUCGCGCACCGAGCAGUAUAGCUGUCUGUAUUGUCGUAGGAUAGCAAAUAAAAAUUUUUCCUCUACGUGCAAAAACACCAGCGAAUUAUUUUCAUCACCCUUCGGCACGGACAAUUUUCGAUUGCGCAAAUUGUAGCCGGAAAAGAAAAAACACCGCGUAAUUAUUGCACGCAUUUAUAUAAUUAACAACGAGUGAUAAGAUAAUUGUACACGACGAGAAAUGUGCAGAAGCUCGGCGUAUCGAGAAAUAGAUGCCGGGCGGAGCGGUAGCUUUCCUUGAUAAAAGUGAGCGAAUAAAAUCAGCAUCGAAAUUAUACAGGAAACGUUAUCGGUUGUACGAAGAACCGAAAAAAUAAACGUCUCGUUUGCUCUCCUCUCAUAGGAAUCGAAACUGUGCGACUCGUUUCACAAAUGAUUAGAGUCCGGGUUAUCUCCGGAUAUCAUUGGCUAUAAAGUACGUCUUGACGUGCGCGGAGUGUCAGUCAAUAACUUACACGAAAAGCAAUCGUUACAUGUCGACAAUGUCCUCUCCGACGGUAUGGUUCAUCCUAAACUUUGCCUGUCUCUUACUCGCAUCGGCCAAUUCGCAAUGGACACCCGGUACUUUGAUGAAUAGCACCGUCCAUCCCGUACGCUCGCUUCCCCCGGGCUACGAGAAUCACCCGGACGUAAACGCCGCUUACAAAGUGUACAACGAAACCCGCAGUUGGACUGCGGCGCAACAGUUUUGCCUGAACGACGGUGGUCGUCUCGCGGUAAUCGACUCGUGGCAAAAAAUUGGAUUCGUAAGAUCGCAACAACCGCCGAGCUCCGUCUGGGUUGGUUUUCAAAAAGUUGACGGGCUCUGGGUAACGUCCGAAAACGUGCGCUACCAGGCGAGACUGCCUUGGGGGCGAAAUCUGCCUUACGGGGUCGGCGACUGCGUCGCCGUUAAGUCGGGCGGAAGAGGGCUCACCAAUCACGAAUGUUUUCGGGAGUAUCCGUUCGUCUGCGAAAUAGUAUCGACGCCCACGUUGUACCCGAGAUUGCCGAAUCAGGAUCACGGUCGAGGGGGCAAUUUUUCGGGACAAGGAUGGCGGCCAGGUAACUCCGGAAGAGGAGUCAGCCAAUUGUACUGACCGAAAUAAUCGACGCGGUUCUUAUAUUCCCUAUUUUACGGACCGACCGGCGAGAACGGAUUAAUCCAUCGGUAAUAUUUGUGCGAUUGUUCGAUAUCACGUGAAUAAAAUGAUACGUUUCAUGUCGUCAAA